CUUUAUAGUCACGUAAAAAUGUAAUGCACUAAGUACCCCAAUGCGGCCUUCCCUGAACAAUUCUCCCUUCUUUUGGUACAAUAAUCAUUUCCUCCUCACCCCAGGCUGAAAUGAGUCUGGUUGCUAGGAUAAACGACAAAGCUAAAACUGUUAGGCGCUGUAUAGAAAGCGUGAUUGAUUCCAUAGUCUUGAAAGCUUUUCCAGGAAGCAUAGCUUCACUGACAGAAAGCAAAGGGCACAAAUGAAGAAAAAUAUUUGUGGAAACGGAUGAAGAAAAUCAUUUUGAGACUGUUGUCAUUAACCGUUUACACCUCCAGAGAAGAAAGAGGGAGAAAGUUAAGCUUUGACCUUCCGUCGUCUUCUUGACGGACGCCAUCUCCUGCUUUGGAUUUCGGACUGAACUGACCACGGCUUGACUUCCCCCUACUCGGACUUGGUGAAUCUACAAACGUCUGCUUCUGGCUUGAACUACGGAAAGGAACUGGGUCUACUCUACUGCUUCAAUCCUCGGCUGAUCUGUGUGUAUUGGAAAUCUUGUCUGCUGUGUGGAGGAGUGACUCAAGUUACUCAAAGCACAGUGCUGGCAGCAGAGAGGAAUCUGCUGCCAAUUAAUUGCAUUCUUUUGAACACUUUGUUCCCCGGCUUCUGUUUUGUUUAUCCCCAGGCUGAAGCAAGCUGUUUUGUUUUUACCCGGAUUAAACUCCGGUUUAAUCCGGUUUAUCUUUUGAACGUUUUUCCUUGCCCCUUUUUGCUUUUAAAGGCUAAUACUGCCUGGCCCUUGUAUUUUACGGGCAUUUUGAGUUCUGUUAUCCAAUAAACUCUGUUAUCUUUGA